rnacentral:rRNA from 1 species
GUAGGUGGCAAGCGUUGUCCGGAAUUAUUGGGCGUAAAGCGCGCGCAGGCGGGUUCUUUAAGUCUGAUGUGAAAGCCCACGGGCUCAACCGUGGAGGGUCAUUGGAAACUGGAGAACUUGAGUACAGAAGAGGAAAGCGGAAUUCCACGUGUAGCGGUGAAAUGCGUAGAGACGUGGAGGAACACCAGUGGCGAAGGCGGCUUUCUGGUCUGUAACUGACGCUGAGGCGCGAAAGCGUGGGGAGCAAACAGGAUUAGAUACCCUGGUAGUCCACGCCGUAAACGAUGAGUGCUAAGUGUUAGGGGGUUUCCGCCCCUUAGUGCUGCAGCUAACGCAUUAAGCACUCCGCCUGGGGAGUACGGCCGCAAGGCUG